GUCAGCAGGUAUUCUGCCCGUUUCCAGUCACCAAGCUGUGAAGAAGCCAAGCAGUUCUCAUGGAAAAACCACAUAUAUGUAUUUCUGCCAAGAGGCCCAGCCAAGAUCCCAGCAACAGCCAGCAUCAACUACCAGACAUAAACCGGCCGGGUGGAGGAUGCAGCCGGGCGUGGUGGCUACAAGGAAGUGCCCUGGUGUUAAGAACUCAGCCUCUGAAACCCGCCGCCCAGCUUCGAGUCAGCGACGUACUUUUGUUGUCCCGGCCUUAGUAUCCCCGCUGCAAUAAGAGGUACUCAGCUCAAACCAUCUGGGUGAGGAUUAAAGGAGUUCAUAUCCAUAAAGGACUAGAACAGGUCCUGGCACCACGUAAACAUUCUUAUCAUCAAAUGUGAAAAAACAAAGUUCUCUAAGAUUUCGAAAGUGAACAGGUUAUUUUUCUACGGAGUAUUUGUGUCUGUUUCAACGUAAAAUUCAAGAUUUUUCUUUGUGAUUGAUGAAUGCGUGCUACUUUAGGAAUCUAGUGACUUUUGAAC
rnacentral:lncRNA from 1 species